UAAAACCCCUGAUGCGGACCACAACUAAACGGUUCUUCAAAGCUUUCCCCAAAAUUAAUACUUUCAGACACUAACUUGCCAGGAACUUUAGCCUUUAAUUAUAAUAUGCCCGGCGGGGGGAUUAGCCAUGUGUAACAUUGCUGUUGUUGUACCAAUAACAUAUAGGGUCUAAACAUGUUUCAGAAAUAUAUGGAGUUCAAUGGUUUAUUGAAAUAAUAAACAGUAAAGCCUGCCCGCUUAGCUCAGAUCUACGGAUUGCGGGUCGUGAGUUCGAUCCUUGGGCAAGGCGUUCUCCGUGAAGAUUUAAUAAAGGACAUACCACCUCUGAUUCAUGUGGGGAAGUUGGGAGUUACUUGCGGAAAACAGGUUUGUACUGGUACAGAAUCCAGGAAUACUGGUUAGGUUAACUGCCCGCCGUUACAUGACUGAAAUACUGUUGAAAAAUGGCGUUAAACCCAAAACAAACCAACAAACAAACAAUAAAUUAAUGUAGAAUAUUAACACCAAUAAAUGUCUUGCCUGUCAUUAAGCAAAGCUUUAGAAGUAAAUAUCAGUAAGUGCCUAGUCAGCUUGAUUGUUGCUGCCAAAGUGUCAUAUCACCCAACAGAUGAUAUGAAAAAUAACAUCAACUGUGCAGAAAACUAAAACUAAAAAACUAACUUUCUGAUAAGAUUACAUGCAUAGAUCAAAACAGCCAUUUUGUGCAUGAGAUAAUUUUGUCAGUGGAGAAUAUGAUAUAAUUAUUUUUAAAGUUCAACCAAUGGAAUAUUUGCAUUGAGCUUUUUGUGAGGUAUAAUAAUAUACACUAUGAUAUUGAAACAGCAAAAUUGUUAAGUUUAUUGAACAAAUUUGUUAGUUUUGUUUAUGAUUGUUUGUUGUAACUUGUUGUGUAUGGUAAUAUCUGAAUUUCUGUUUAAAACAGCUUUGUUCCAGGUUAAUAUCAGAUUUUCUAAUUCAUAUUCUGGCCUGUUAUACCAUAUUACAAAAAUGUCAUUCAUUCUUCUGUGACAUAUUAAUUAGUUAAAAGUGAAUUCAUGUAGAAUGAAAUUUUCAAUAUUUUAAAUAACCACUCAGUGUACAAAUAUUUACAUGUUUCCAUCCAUCACAUUUCACUAUUCAGGUUUCCAUCCAUCACAUUCCACUAUUCAGGUUUCCAUCCAUCACAUUCCACUAUUCAGGUUUCCAUCCAUCACAUUCCACUAUUCAGGAAUGUUGAAGCUUUAUUAUCAAUAUGUGUUUUACCAUGAAAUCCUAAUACAAAGAUGUGUUUUUCAUUGAAGAACAUGGUGGCAUUGUCUUCUUACUGUGAUAAGGCUUCUUCAAAUAAAGACUACUAAAGGGUGCCUUUGACAGCAUUUAUUCUAGCAUGUUUGUAAUGGUUGUUAUAUCAAUAUUGACUAAGUGGAAGUGUAUUUUUAAAAAAAUGUGCACUCUUUUUAACAGGAGAGGGGGAACUUUGUUAUUUGUUGAUAUUGUAUAGUCAUUUUAAUCGACCUGGCGGUGCGGGGUUUCGCGAUGGUCCACUGCAUUAUUGUGCAGGAUAUGUAGUAUAUUUGGCAGCCUGAUUUCUUAUUCACUGGCCAUUUACUUUACACUGUAACCACUAUAGCUGUACCUAUUUUGCUCGUUUUUUUGUGAUUACCAUUAUUUGCAUAAGCCAGAGAUUAACUCCGCCCCGCCAUGUCAAAUAAAACGCACUACAGUAGUUGGUUACCAGUAUGAACAUAAAUGUACUUGUUGUGAUCUUGUAUAUCCAUGUUAUGAGUACAACCUUUUUGAGGGGUUAUGGCAGUAAGUUUAAAGUAGAGUGGAUGGAUAUGUUGUUGCCAUGGUGAUGAAGGUUCAGAUUCUGUCUCUAGCUGAAAUGUUGGUUUUACAGCAUUUCCAAAUAUAUACUGGUAUACCAGUAUGCGAGGAAGUCGUGUUCACACAUGAUAACAAUUUGUCAAUUUAUGUGUGUUUUUACAUUCAUAUUUAUUCAUGGGUUUUAUUUAUUUUUGAGUAUGGGAACAAAUUUGUCUCAAGAUGCAUUUAUACUGUAUAAUUUAUUAUGUAAUGUCUAAAAAAAAUUUAAUUUUAUUGUUGUGUUUAGAAAAAUGCCAUUGAAUAGAUAUUAGUGAAAUAUAUUUUUACAGUAUA